rnacentral:rRNA from 1 species
UACGGAGGGUGCAAGCAUUGAUCGGAAUUACUGGGCGUAAAGGGCGCGUAGGCGGUUUAAUAAGUCGGAUGUGAAAUUCCGGGGCUCAACCCCGGAGCGGCAUUUGAAACUGUUGAACUAGAGUACAGUUAGGGUAAACGGAAUUCCUCGUGUAGCGGUGAAAUGCGUAGAUAUGAGGAAGAACACCGGUGGUGAAGACGGUUUACUGGGCUGUAACUGACGCUGAGGCGCGAAAGCAUGGGGAGCAAACAGG